CCGCGUUUUCCAGACAGGGCUGGGUCCUGACAGCUGCCUGUCGGGGAUGGUGAUGAUGUUUGGGUCUUACGCAAUGAGCAUCUGCGAACCGUGUCAGAUCGGGAACGAAGCAGCACUAAGCAGAACCGUUCAUGUGCCGUGAGGAAACCUGGCGGAGCCAUUCCUGCAGUACCGUGUCAGGGUCCUGCCGUAUCCGGAAGGCGCGG
rnacentral:SRP_RNA from 1 species